UCAUGGCUCAGGAUGAACGCUGGCGGCGUGCUUAACACAUGCAAGUCGAACGGAAAGGCCUCAGCUUGCUGGGGUACUCGAGUGGCGAACGGGUGAGUAACACGUGGGUGAUCUGCCCUGCACUUUGGGAUAAGCUUGGGAAACUGGGUCUAAUACCGAAUAUGACCACUUCUUGGAUGUUGUGGUGGAAAGCUUUUGCGGUGUGGGAUGAGCCUGCGGCCUAUCAGCUUGUUGGUGGGGUAAUGGCCUACCAAGGCGGCGACGGGUAUCCGGCCUGAGAGGGUGUACGGACACAUUGGGACUGAGAUACGGCCCAGACUCCUACGGGAGGCAGCAGUGGGGAAUAUUGCACAAUGGGCGCAAGCCUGAUGCAGCGACGCCGCGUGGGGGAUGAAGGCCUUCGGGUUGUAAACUCCUUUCGCUAUCGACGAAGCCUUCGGGUGACGGUAGGUAGAUAAGAAGCACCGGCUAACUACGUGCCAGCAGCCGCGGUAAUACGUAGGGUGCAAGCGUUGUCCGGAAUUACUGGGCGUAAAGAGCUCGUAGGUGGUUUGUCGCGUCGUCUGUGAAAUCCCGGGGCUUAACUUCGGGCGUGCAGGCGAUACGGGCAUAACUUGAGUGCUGUAGGGGAGACUGGAAUUCCUGGUGUAGCGGUGAAAUGCGCAGAUAUCAGGAGGAACACCGAUGGCGAAGGCAGG
rnacentral:rRNA from 1 species